rnacentral:tRNA from 8 species
GCGGGUGUUGUGUAGUGGUAAGACCUUAGCCUUCCAAGCUAAUGACGCGGGUUCGAUUCCCGCCACCCGCUCCA